UUUAUGGAGAGUUUGAUCCUGGCUCAGGAUGAACGCUGGCGGCGUGCCUAAUACAUGCAAGUCGAGCGAACGGACGAGAAGCUUGCUUCUCUGAUGUUAGCGGCGGACGGGUGAGUAACACGUGGAUAACCUACCUAUAAGACUGGGAUAACUUCGGGAAACCGGAGCUAAUACCGGAUAAUAUUUUGAACCGCAUGGUUCAAAAGUGAAAGACGGUCUUGCUGUCACUUAUAGAUGGAUCCGCGCUGCAUUAGCUAGUUGGUAAGGUAACGGCUUACCAAGGCAACGAUGCAUAGCCGACCUGAGAGGGUGAUCGGCCACACUGGAACUGAGACACGGUCCAGACUCCUACGGGAGGCAGCAGUAGGGAAUCUUCCGCAAUGGGCGAAAGCCUGACGGAGCAACGCCGCGUGAGUGAUGAAGGUCUUCGGAUCGUAAAACUCUGUUAUUAGGGAAGAACAUAUGUGUAAGUAACUGUGCACAUCUUGACGGUACCUAAUCAGAAAGCCACGGCUAACUACGUGCCAGCAGCCGCGGUAAUACGUAGGUGGCAAGCGUUAUCCGGAAUUAUUGGGCGUAAAGCGCGCGUAGGCGGUUUUUUAAGUCUGAUGUGAAAGCCCACGGCUCAACCGUGGAGGGUCAUUGGAAACUGGAAAACUUGAGUGCAGAAGAGGAAAGUGGAAUUCCAUGUGUAGCGGUGAAAUGCGCAGA
rnacentral:rRNA from 1 species